rnacentral:rRNA from 1 species
GACGAACGCUGGCGGCGUGCUUAACACAUGCAAGUCGAACGAUGAACCCGGAGCUUGCUCCGGCGGAUUAGUGGCGAACGGGUGAGUAACACGUGAGUAACCUGCCCUUGACUCUGGGAUAACUGCGGGAAACUGUAGCUAAUACCGGAUACGACCCUCGGCGGCAUCGCCAGGGGGUGGAAAGAAUUUCGGUCAAGGAUGGACUCGCGGCCUAUCAGCUAGUUGGUGAGGUAACGGCUCACCAAGGCGACGCCGGGUAGCCGGCCUGAGAGGGUGAGCGGCCACACUGGGACUGAGACACGGCCCAGACUCCUACGGGAGGCAGCAGUGGGGAAUAUUGCACAAUGGGCGCAAGCCUGAUGCAGCAACGCCGCGUGAGGGAUGACGGCCUUCGGGUUGUAAACCUCUUUUAGUAGGGAAGAAGCGAAAGUGACGGUACCUGCAGAGAAAGCACCGGCUAACUACGUGCCAGCCGCCGCAGUAA